CCAAUAGCGUAUAUUAAAGUUGUUGCAGUUAAAAAGCUCGUAGUUGAAUUUCGGGAUUGACACAUCGGUCGUGCCUUAAGGGGCAUGAACUGGUGUAGUCAAUUUCUCACCUUCUGGAGAACCGCGAUGCCCUUAAUUGGGUGUCACGGGGAACCAGGACCUUUACUUUGAAAAAAUUAGAGUGUUUAAAGCAGGCAUUUUGCUUGAAUACAUUAGCAUGGAAUAAUAAAAUAGGACGGCAUGAUUCUAUUUUGUUGGUUUCUAGGAUCACCGUAAUGAUUAAUAGGGAUAGUUGGGGGCAUUAGUAUUCAAUUGUCAGAGGUGAAAUUCUUGGAUUUAUUGAAGACUAACUACUGCGAAAGCAUUUGCCAAGGAUGUUUUCAUUAAUCAAGAACGAAAGUUAGGGGAUCGAAGACGAUCAGAUACCGUCGUAGUCUUAACCAUAAACUAUGCCGACUAGGAAUCAGACGAUGUUAAUUUUUUAAUGACUCGUUUGGCACCUUACG
rnacentral:rRNA from 1 species